rnacentral:rRNA from 1 species
UUUAUGGAGAGUUUGAUCCUGGCUCAGAGUGAACGCUGGCGGCGUGCCUAAUACAUGCAAGUC